rnacentral:rRNA from 1 species
UACGUAGGGAGCAAGCGUUGUUCGGAAUUACUGGGCGUAAAGGGCUCGUAGGCGGCCAACUAAGUCGGAUGUGAAAUCCCCAGGCUUAACCUGGGAACUGCAUCCGAUACUGGAUGGCUUGAAUUCGGGAGAGGGAUGCAGAAUUCCAGGUGUAGCGGUGAAAUGCGUAGAUAUCUGGAGGAAUACCGGUGGCGAAGGCGGCAUCCUGGACCGACAUUGACGCUGAGGAGCGAAAGCCAGGGGAGCAAACGGG